rnacentral:misc_RNA from 1 species
GAUGAAGAACGCAUCGAAAUGCGAUAAGUAGUGUGAAUUGCAGAAUUCCGUGAAUCAUCGAAUCUUUGAACGCACAUUGCGCCUCCUGGUAAUCCGUGAGGCAUGCCUGUCCGAGCGUCAGUAAAAAGCAACUCGGCCGCGGCUGGCGGUUGGUGAUGGAGGAAGAGCACGUCUCGUUGUCGGUCUCCCCUCCCAAAAUCAACGGCGGAAUGUCACUGGCACUCGGUGUUGUAGUAUUAUUCGCCGAUCACCCAUUGUUGUUCCUGCCGCCCAAACCCCCACAAUUCUCUUGAUUGACCUCGGAUCAGGUAGGGAUACCCGCUGAACUUAAGCAUAUCAAUAAGCGGAGGA